rnacentral:rRNA from 1 species
CUACGGGGUGCUGCAGUGGGGAAUCUUAGACAAUGGGGGCAACCCUGAUCUAGCCAUGCCGCGUGAGUGAUGAAGGCCUUAGGGUUGUAAAGCUCUUUCAGCUGGGAAGAUAAUGACGGUACCAGCAGAAGAAGCCCCGGCUAACUCCGUGCCAGCAGCCGCGGUAAUACGGAGGGGGCUAGCGUUGUUCGGAAUUACUGGGCGUAAAGCGCACGUAGGCGGACUGGAAAGUCAGAGGUGAAAUCCCAGGGCUCAACCUUGGAACUGCCUUUGAAACUAUCAGUCUGGAGUUCGAGAGAGGUGAGUGGAAUUCCAAGUGUAGAGGUGAAAUUCGUAGAUAUUCGGAGGAACACCAGUGGCGAAGGCGGCUCACUGGCUCGAUACUGACGCUGAGGUGCGAAAGCGUGGGGAGCAAACAGGAUUAGAUACCCGUGUAGUC